CCUACGGGAGGCAGCAGUGAGGAAUAUUGGUCAAUGGGAGAGAUCCUGAACCAGCCAAGCCGCGUGCGGGAAGACGGCCCUAUGGGUUGUAAACCUCUUUUGUAGGAGAACAAAACCCGGGACGUGUCCCGGACUGCGUGUAUCCGAAGAAAAAGGAUCGGCUAACUCCGUGCCAGCAGCCGCGGUAAUACGGAGGAUGCGAGCGUUAUCCGGAUUCAUUGGGUUUAAAGGGUGCGUAGGUGGUCCGUUAAGUCAGCGGUAAAAUCGCGGGGCUCAACCCCGUCGUGCCGUUGAAACUGGCGGACUGGAGAUGGCGAGAAGUAGGCGGAAUGCGUGGUGUAGCGGUGAAAUGCAUAGAUA
rnacentral:rRNA from 1 species